AGCCUGAACGCUGGCGGCGUGGCUAAGACAUGCAAGUCGUACGGGUGUAGCAAUACACCAGUGGCGGACGGGUGAGUAAAGUAUCGCUAACGUGCCCUUCAGUCCGGGAUAGCCGAGGGAAACUUCGGGUAAUACCGGUUGACAUCACGAGCAGGCAUCUGCUUGUGCUCAAAGGCGUAAGCCGC
rnacentral:rRNA from 1 species